rnacentral:rRNA from 1 species
UACUCCUACGGGAGGCAGCAGUGAGGAAUAUUGGUCAAUGGACGCAAGUCUGAACCAGCCAUGCCGCGUGAAGGAUGAAGGCGUUCAGCGUUGUAAACUUCUUUUAUCUGGGAAGAAACCUCUGAUUUCUAUUGGAGCCGACGGUACCAGAGAAUAAGC